rnacentral:rRNA from 1 species
CGCGACCCCAGGUCAGGCGGGGCUACCCGCUGAGUUUAAGCAUAUCAAUAAGCGGAGGAAAAGAAACUAACGAGGAUUCCCCUAGUAACGGCGAGCGAACCGGGGAAU